CAGAGCCAAGGAAGCUGCACAGGGACAAGGGCUGAUGAUAUUGAAAGUUCAUAUGGAUCAGAAAGUCACAUGAAGAGUUCACACCGAGUCUCAGAGGAGCCAAUGAACAAAAUCUGGGACUAUAAAGACCAUGAAGUCCUUUGAAGAGUGACUAAGCGCAUUGUACACCGAGAUGCACAGGAGCCUGUAGAAACUAAGACAUUUGGAGCAGCAGGAUGCCAUUGAGAAGAGGUUGGGAAUGUUAAAGCUAAGCCAUGUGAACCAAGCUCAUCCCAACAGCUGCCAAAGUGUCUGAAAGUAGAUCCUGGGUCCACCCUUCCCCAUCCCAGCCUUGGAUCUGCUGCUGCUAUGUGAAACGUUUCUGAAAACAGUGACC
rnacentral:piRNA from 1 species